rnacentral:lncRNA from 1 species
AAACAAACAAGCCAAAAUGAGCGAGAAUACUGAAGACAGAAUGGCACAAGAGGAAAUGCUCGACAAAAUAGCUAAGCUGCAUCAUGACAGCAUCCACCUGAAGGACCUGAACGCAUCGUUGAUGGAGUGGCUGGAUGCUGCAGAGACUGAGAACGUCUCGCUUUGCUCAGACAACAAGUCCCUGAGGAAAAAAGCCAACAUGCUGGAGAAGAUGGUCUCAGAGGCACAACAGGACAGAGGAGAGCCUUGUCCACCUUCUCUGGCUGAUGAAAAGAGAAAAAAUGUGCAAAAAAUUCAGCUAAUGGAGGAACAAUUAACCCUACAGAGGGAGGACAACCAGCAGCUUAUUUCCGAGCUGAAAGACCUCCAGCAGCAGAGGGACGAGGACAAGAAGACCCUGAGCAAGAUCAGCCAAGCACAUCAGAUCCUCCAGAGGGACCUUGAAGCGGCUCAUUUGGAGCUGCAGCAGAACGAUAUGUCUAUCCAAGAGAAAAAGCAGCUGUUGAGGAAUGCGGAGAAGGACUUAGAGGAGUUUUUUAACACCAUAGAGGACCUCAGGAGGACAAAUCAAGAACUGAAAUUUCAGCUGCAAGAAAGACAAGAUGAGUCCUCGUUGUAAGUGUGAAGUUCCUUGUAAAGGAAAGUCAAUAG